rnacentral:rRNA from 1 species
UACAGAGGGUGCAAGCGUCGUUCGGAAUUAUUGGGCGUAAAGGGAGUGUAGGCGGCUUGUUAAGUCUUCUGUGAAAUCUACGGGCUUAGCCUGUAACGUGCAGAGGAAACUGGCGAGCUUGAGUGUCGGAGAGGGUAGCGGAAUUCCCGGUGUAGAGGUGAAAUUCGUAGAGAUCGGGAGGAACACCAGUGGCGAAGGCGGCUACCUGGCUGACAACUGACGCUGAGACUCGAAAGCAUGGGGAGCAAACAGG